rnacentral:rRNA from 1 species
AUUGAACGCUGGCGGCAGGCCUAACACAUGCAAGUCGAGCGGAUGAAGGGAGCUUGCUCCUGGAUUCAGCGGCGGACGGGUGAGUAAUGCCUAGGAAUCUGCCUGGUAGUGGGGGAUAACGUCCGGAAACGGGCGCUAAUACCGCAUACGUCCUGAUGGUGAAAGUGGGGGAUCUUCGGACCUCACGCUAUCAGAUGAGCCUAGGUCGGAUUAGCUAGUUGGUAGGGUAAAGGCCUACCAAGGCGACGAUCCGAAACUGGUCUGAGAGGAUGAUCAGUCACACUGGAACUGAGACACGGUCCAGACUCCUACGGGAGGCAGCAGUGGGGAAUAUUGGACAAUGGGCGAAAGCCUGAUCCAGCCAUGCCGCGUGUGUGAAGAAGGUCUUCGGAUUGUAAAGCACUUUAAGUUGGGAGGAAGGGCAGUAAGUUAAUACCUUGCUGUUUUGACGGUACCAACAGAAUAAGCACCGGCUAACUUCGUG